GGAGAUCCUUCACCAUUGUUCAUGAACCUCCUCCUCCUGACCAACGAAACCCUAUUUGGGAAACUUAAUUUUGUGCUGCGAUUCCAAAGUUCGAAUUCAACCAAGAAGAAAGCCCCAUCGAAGAGCAACAGAAGCUUCCUGAACUCUUUGAUUAUCAACAUGGACUCGAUGGCGGAUUUGGGGGUUUCAUUGUAAGGGGAGGAGAAGGGGUGGCGGUGUUGCAUGGUUUAUGGUGAUGGAUUGAUGGUAGUCGAAGGAGAAAGGAAAAAGAAGGUGGAGGAGGACGAUGACGACUUGUCUGAGUUACACGACUCAUUGACUCACUCGGGUGAGGGAGGGACAAGGGAGAGAAGCAAGGUGCAGAGCUUAGUGAGCUUGAUGCGGAAGAGGAAGACACGACGGUGGAAGAAGGUUUCAGGCGGCGGCAGCAGCGGCAGUGGCUCCUCGUCUUCGUUGGGGAACGAUGAGGUGGCAAUAGUAUUUGAUCUGAGUUUAUUAUUGUGUUUGAUGGUGUUAGGAAAGAUUGAAGAGGCUUCGAUUCUUGCAUAUUUUUAUUUUUUUUAGCUUUGAAAUAUCUACAAUAUAAAUUAUAUAUAUAAAGUGUGUCACAAUUUUUAGAUACAAAUCAUGUAAGCUUAUAUAUAUGGUUCACAACGCAUCA